rnacentral:ncRNA from 1 species
ACAAAUUCGUUGAUGAGAAAGAGUAGUGUAUCAUUUUGUUCUACAGAGAGCCGACAUAUUGGUGGAAGUCGGUGUGCAGGUGUUACAUGAAGAUCCUCUCUGAGAAGAUUGGCUGAACAUAGUAAGCUAAUCCGGGUGUCUACCGUUAAAAAGAACACGUAUGAUUGUACGUUGCUGAGUGCUAUUGAGCGUUGAUUCAAUAGAAUUAGGGUGGUAUUCGCGGUUAACCCCGUCCCUUAC